CUUAGGGCUUCUCUGCUCAAACAUUGUAUUUUAAAAAUUGUCUUAUAUUUUUUCUUAGUACUUUUAAAAUCAUAGCAUUUUUGAGAUGUAAUUUACAUACCACAAAAUUCAUCCUUUUCAUGUGUACAGUUUAGUGGUUUUGGUCUGUUUACAGAAUUGUACAGCUAUCACCACAAUCUAAUUUCAGAACAUUUUCAUCACCCCAAAAAGAAACCCCAUACCCAUUAAGCAGUCACUCUCCAUUCGCUCCGCCCCAAAGCCCCUGGUAACCACUAAUCUCCUUUACUUCUCUAAGGAUUCGCCUGUUCUGGACUUUUCGUUUAAAUUGACUCAUACAAUUCGUAGUCCCUUGUGACUGGCUUCUUCCACUUAGCGUUAUGUUAUCAAGGUUUAUCUGAGGGCUUUUACAUUUGCAUUUUUCACAUUCAAAUCUUUGGUUGCUCAAGAAUUUAUUUUAGUGUAGGAUCUGAACUAGGGAUCUGACUUUAUUUCUGCCAGGGGGCCAUCCACUUACUGAAAGACUUUCUUCUCCCAAUAACAUUCACUGCCAACUUUGUCAUACCCUGAAUCGCAGUAUGUGUUUGGGUCUAUUCCUUUUCCAUUGAUCUUGCUUUCUAUUUGUGUGCCAGUGUGUACUGACUUAACAUUUGGAGCUUUAAAAUAUUUUACAUAUCUGGUAUGCUAGUCUUAUUUAUUUUUUUCCUUCUUUCUUUCUUUUAUUUUUGGUUGCACUGGGUCUUUGUUGCUGUGCUCGAACUUUCUCUGAUUGAGGAGAGUGGAGGCUACUCUCUAGUUGAGCUUUGCAGGCUUCUCCCUGCAGUGGCUUCACUUUUUGCUGAGCAUAGGCUCUAGGUCUCUGGGCCUCAGUACUUGCAGCUUGUGGGCUCAGUAGUUUUGGUGCUAAGGCUUAGUUGCUCUGUGGCAUGGGAAUCUUCCCGAACCAGGGAUUGGACUCAUGUCCCCUGCAUUGGCAGGUAACUUUAUCACCCUGGCAGUCCUCUUUCCUUAUUUCUUGUUUAAUUUUUAUGACUAUUCAUUCCUUCCUAUGCAUUUUUCCACAUAAACUUCAGAGUUGGCUUUCUCAUGGUAUUCUUGGAUAUCAUCUCAUGUUUAUCAGUUACUUUGGGAAGAAUUAGUGAUUUUCUCAUCAAAGACCAGCAGGGUAAAUGUACCUUCUUUGUCCUUCAAUAAUGUGAAAUUUUCUUUUUUUUACCUAGUUCUUGUGUAUUUCUAUUUAUCUCUAGCCAUUUUUCAUUUUUAUUGCAAUUUUAAAGAUUGGGAUGUCUUCUUAAUGGUUGUUCCUUAGGAAGGCCACUGACUUUUGCAUAUUAUUCUUGUUGGUAAAGAAUCCAGGAGACCACCUGCAGUGCAGGAGACCAGGGUUUGAUCCUUGGGCUGGGAAGAAGGAAAUGGCAACCCACUCCAGUAUUCUUGCCUGGGAAAUCCUAUGGACAGAGGAGACUGGCAGGCUGUAGUACAUGGGGUCACAACAGUCGGACACGACUUAGCAAUUCAACCAGCACUUGUGAAUUACCUUACAAAAUUCUGUAAUUGUCUAUAACAGUUGUUCAGCUGACUUGCUCAUGUGAUUUUCAGCCACAGCCUUUGCAAAUAAUGAUCAUUUUGCUGCUCUUUGCUUGUUUUUGGACUUCUUAUCUCUCUCCCUUACAUAAUUUAAUUGGCUACUUCCACCAGAAUGGUGUUAACAGCUAUAAUGGUAGACAGCCUUGCGUGGGUUCUAAGUUUAAUAGAACGCUUCUUAUGUGUCACCACUCACAGUGAGGCUGCCUUUGGGGUUGGCAUGUGUAAUGUUCAUUGGGCAUUUGUGGGGCUUUAUCAUGAGCAGAAAGCCUUUUGGAAAUGCUGGAGCUGACUGAAUGGUUUGCAGAGACAGCGGCCUGCUCUGCCAGUUCUCCUGCAGUGAUAAAAUAGCAGACUGAUUUUCCUCACUGGCACUGACAGGCAUGUGAGUGGGAAGUCCAUGCUCCAGAGAAAGGAGGCAGCAAUUAUACUUGAAUCUCAUGCUACGUUUAUUUUGCCAGUCAAGUGAAAAGUCUAAGAAGCUAUAGGUAGCACCAUGAGAUGGGGCUUUCCAGGUGGCGCUAAUGGUAAAAAAAUCUUCCCUGGGUCGAGAAGAUCCCCAGGAGAAGGAAAUGGCAACCCACUCCAGUGUUCUUGCCUAGAGAAUUCUAUGGACAGAGGAUCUUGGUGGGCUGCAGCCCAUGACUAAGGACACACACCAGCCUGUUAAUGCCUCAAAGCUAUGAACUUAGAACACUGUGCGUGCUAAGUUACUUCAGUUGUGUCCUACUAAGAACAACUGAUCAAAUGGUUAACUAGGCUUUAAGCUAUAGUCAAUUAAAUAAUUUCCUUUUGGGCUUUCCAAUUGGUGCUAGUAAUAGAGAAUUCACAUGCCAAUGGAGGAAAUUAAGAGAUGCAGGUUCGAUCCCUAAGUUGGGACAAUUUCCUGGAAGAGGGAAUGGCAACCCACGCCAGUAUUCUUGCCUGGGAAAUAGCAUGGACAGAGGAUCCUGGUGGGUUACAGUCCAUGGGGUGGCAAAGAGUUGGACACGACUGAGUGACUGAUCACACAAAGAGAGAAAGACCUCUUACUGGAAAAGGUUGAAGGCAAAAGGAGAAGGGAGCAUUAGAGAAUAAGAUGGUUAGAGAGCAUCGUUGACUCAAUGGACAUGAAUCUGAGCAAAUGCUGGGGGAUAAUGGAGGACAGGGAGGUCUGGCCUGCUGCAGUCCAGGAGGCUGCAGAGUCAGACAUGGCUUAGCAACUGAACAACAACAAAGGGCAAAAGAAAGAAAGGAAGGCAGAAUUAAUGGAAAGAAAGAGGUAAAAAUAUACACCCCUCUCCUCACUGUUCUCCCAGAGCAGGCUGUGUGAUAAGCCAAAAUAUUUCCCAGGUAGUUUCCUCCAGCAAAAUAUUACCCAAAGAAGGGCACCCAACACUAAUUGUCAGCAAAUAUAGUAGUCUCAGAAAAGGCUUAGAAGCAAUAGUGAACUCUUUUACCAUUUGUAAGCAAAACAGGCUAAUAAAGCAUUCCAAAUAUUGAGAAACCACUGAAACCACUGAAGGGAGAAAGAAUGCCUGUUGAAACAUGUUUACAUGUUGAUUCUUUUUGAUGUUGCCGUAUAAAAAGCAUUUUGAUCUUUUGCACAGAAAUCAGAGAAACAUCUAUUUUAUGUGCUAACCCCGAACCUGACAUUAUUCUAAUAGUAGUAAAUACGAGGACAGGCCAUCCCUUACAUGAGCAGAACUAGGAACCAAAAUGAAAGGUGGUAACAAUUGAGGCUUUGAGGCUCCUUGGAAACAUCUACCAUGCAGUUGGUGCAGUUGUGGUUAUAAACAAAAGGCAUUUAGACUGACUCCAUAAAGUGGAGGGCUCAUGGGUGGCGUCGGGGAUUCCGUGCUAUAUCAUCUCUAUGACAUGCAGGAAAGAGAAAGUUUGGGGAAGCACACAGUUUGUGCGGGUGUGCCCAUCCGGUUGGUUUUGGCCAUGCACACCUUCGGCUUGUACCUGUCAAAACCAUGUGUGUGAUUUUGAAGCUUGCAAGAACCACUGGAGUCUGGGUGGGCGUCUCGGGCAAGUCCCCUAGCCUUCUUGUGAGUUGAUAUGUUGAGGAAAAAAGAGCUCGGGCUUGGAACAGAGGCAUCCGACGCUGCUGCUUGCUGACUGUGUGUACUUGACCGAGUUACUGAACCUUUCUGAGCUGCGUUUCUCAUCUGCAAGUCGUGUUUACAAUUCAUGUGGAUUUAUUAAGAGGUGUUGGACCCAAAGCACCUAGCAUAGCAUGGGGCCUGGUAGAGAGUAAUUGCUAAGUAGGUGUUCCAGAUGGACUGAGAUGAACCAGAGGAAGCAAGGGUGGAGGGAAGGAAGGGAGAAUUCCAUGUAUCCAUUCCACAAUCCUGAUAUAUGGAGAGUCCUGGGGAAACUCUUAAAGAAUAUCACACCAGGGCCAGGGAUAAGGGGUGUUUCUAGGAAAGACGUCUCAGAGAGGUGAGUCACGAAGCCCAGGCAGACAGGUUGUGCUAGGGCAGUGCUUCUAGGUGGAAAAGGACAUUUUCCAAGGCAUAGGCAUGAAGGAGUCAAGAAGUCUUAAACCCAGGGAAGCGUGGGUAGUAAGAGAGUAUGGCUGAGUCUCGGGUUAUGGGUGGGGGUGUUGGGGGGAGUUGUGAGUAAAAGUCAGGAGAGGUCUUCAACCCUGGGAGUGAGUAGGGUCCUGCUUGUCCUGUUGGAUUAUGACUACGAUGAUGGUGGCUGUCACCUUGAGGGACCCCAUUGCAUCUGCAUUUUGGAAAGAUGGCACCAGCAUCAGUGGGGUGCCUUUAGAGACCACCAGGAGGAAGUGAACUCUCGGCCAUGGCAGUGAUUCCUGCCACGUCCCCCACAAACCCUGCACAGUGCUGAGCGCAUAGUAGGUGGUCAGGAAAAGCUGCCUGAUGGACUUGGACCAAAGCGCUUGUUUGGCCAAGAUCGUCUUCUCCACGAUUCAUCUGUUUUAGCAUUCAUAGAUGAUUCUCCUGUGGAUUUGAUCAUUUCCCCCCAAUUAUUUUUGACCCUCGAUUAAAUUAUCCUAUUAAACAACUGUGUGUUGUGGCAUAAACUUACCCUAAUCUAUUUCUAAUUUAUUGUGCAAGCGUCUGUCUCAUGAAAGAUGUCUUCUUAUUUAAAGGGUACUGGCCUAGAACUGCAUGAAAAUCACCAGUCUUGCUGAUGCUCCCUCCCCCCACACCACCCUGAAAUGGUUUCUGUGCAGAGGAAUAAUUGUUUCCAGCUCCAAACACUUUAGGCUUUGCCCAUAACUCUCUUUCAAAGCUUUCCCUGUUUUAAGAUUCUUUCAAGCCUCCUGGUGCUCUUGAAGGGGAAAACUCUAAAAGCUUUUAGCUCCUGAUUGACUUCAAACAGAGCAAGCUCAUGGUCUUACUUUGGAGUCGUGAUACCCUUCUAAUUAAGGUGGCCAAAGCAGUAACUGAGGUCGCGCCGCCAGCCUCUGAGGGCCACAGAUAGCACUGAAUGGAGUGAGAGGUAAGUGUUCCUGUCGUGUACCGGAUGAAUGUGCAUGCAUGCUAAGUCGCUUCAGUCAUGUCUGACUCCGUGCGACUCCAUAUAUUGCAGCCUCCCAGGCUCCUCUGUCCAUGGGGUUCUCCAGUAUUCUUGCCUGAAGAAUCCCCAUGGACAGAGGAGCCUGGCCGGCUACAUGCAGCCCAUGGGGUCUCACAGAAUCAGACAUGGGUCAAGUGACUUAGCACACACACACGCGUGGGAUGGUAACCCACCUACACUCUUAAUUUUUGCUUUCAGAACUUAGGUCCAGAAAAGAGAAGCAAAAUGUCUCUACCUUAUUAUUGAAAUGUCUCUAUACCUUAUUCAAAACACACUGUGUGAAUUACUGCUCUCUACUCAAGGAAGGGUUUUCACAAUAUUGUUUCCUUUGCAAUGGCAGAGGGCAAGGUUAACAGGGAAACAUAUUUACUCCUCAUAAAAGGGCAUCUGGAAGGUUUUUCACCUGUCUCUGGGGGGACACGCCCUUCCACAGAGCCUCAUAGGAAUUCAAGGGCAACUUAGAAAUGGCCUGAGUUGGUUAGAGAUGAGCAUGAGUUGUUUUGGGUCUAGAAGUGUGGAAUGCUUAAAAUAUUUUUCAAAGCAGGAUUCCUAUUCUGUACUUUACUUGUUUCUAGAACCAACCUCUCAGGGUACAAGGGCGCAGCUUUGAGUGGCCAGAAAGCCAUUCUGGCUUGUCAUCAAGAGCAUGUGUCCUUGGAGAACGCUUUAGCUCCAUCUUCUGGGUACCCCGCCACGGAUGCACACAGCAUGUUCACAUACACUCUCAGAUGUGUUACUUAGUUCUGAGAGCCUGAGCAGUCAGAGAGAGAUGAUUAAAAGAUUUUUUUUUCUCCUUUCGAUUGAAAGACACUGCUCUUUUUGCCCUGUCUCUUGAAUAUGACUUCUCUGCUUUUUGUUUAUUUUCAGUCUCUCCAAGGGAGAUGUCAGUUUUAACUAGAAUCACAGACUGUUAGGUCUGGAAGGGACUGUAGAGAUCUAACAUGCCCAGUUGAAAAUGCCAGCAGGACCCAUCUAGAGAUGCUCAGCUGGUGUUCUGGAAAACACAUCUGGAUCUUAGAAGAGAGGGAGGGGCUGGACUUGUGGAUUUCAGAGUUUUUUGUGUAGAGGCAGCAGAGUACCUCUGAUAGAGUCAUUCCCCUGCUCCAAACCUUCUUAAACCCCUCCUGACUUUACAGAAUCAUCUCAAUUACUCAGAAGGGCCUUUGGGGUCCUUUAUUAUCUGGCCCCUACUUUUCUUUCCCAGCUCAUCAUCCCCUGCUACAUCUCCACACAGGCACCUCCAACCACAAUGGUCCACUGGCCACAUUGAGACACAUAUGCCUCUUAUCUCUGUUUUCUAAAGCUGUUUAUCCUUCUAGAAUUAGCUCAGAUUCCCUUCCUU
ensembl:lncRNA